rnacentral:lncRNA from 1 species
AGUGGCGUGAGGCACUGAACCAACACAGUGGCGUGAGGCACUGAACCAAAACAGUGGCGUGAGGCACUGAACCAAAACAGUGGCGUGAGGCACUGAACCAACACAGUGGCGUGAGGCACUGAACCAACACAGUGGCGUGAGGGACUGAACCAAAACAGUGGCGUGAGGGACUGAACCAACACAGUGGCGUGAGGGACUGAACCAACACAGUGGCGUGAGGGACUGAACCAACACAGUGGCGUGAGGGACUGAACCAAAACAGUGGCGUGAGGGACUGAACCAAAACAGUGGCGUGAGGGACUGAACCAGCACAGUGGCGUGAGGGACUGAACCAGCACAGUGGCGUGAGGGACUGAACCAACACAGUGGCGUGAGGGACUGAACCAAAACAGUGGCGUGAGGGAAUGAAGUAAAACUUUUCAGUGGGCAAAAUGUGAGGGGUGCAAAAUGUGAUCUGUUAAUGAUUAUAUAAUAUAUAAAAUGGACAUAUCUAUUUUAAUACAGACUAGCUCAAAACAUUACUCAUCACUGAAAGUGAGACAUUUCCCAAUGGAUUAUGAUACUUUUCUGGUAAAAAGGGGGGGGUGCAAAAACACACUUUUUACACCCCUAUUUUGAAAGUGGAGAUGCAGCUGCUCCUUUUUCUCCAUUGCUUAGGCGCCUGUGGCCAGUACCACCACUGUGUUUUGUUUCUCAUGUUCUGAGAGUCUUUUAGGUGCCUUUUGGCAAACUUCAAGCGGGCUGUCAUAUGCCUUUUACUGAGGAGUGGCUUCCAUCUGGCCACUCUACCAUAAAUGCCUGAUUGGUGGAGUGCUGCACACUUGGUUGUCCUUUUGGAAUGUUCUCCCAUCACCACAGAGGAACUCUGGAGCUCUGAGAGAGUGACCAUCGGGUUCUUGGUCACCUCCCUGACCAAGGCCCUUCUCCCCCGAUUGCUCAGUUUGGCUUGGCGGCCAGCUCUAGGAAGAGUCUUGGUGGUUCCAAACUUCUUCCAUUUUAAGAAUGUUGAAUGCCAAUGUGUUCUUGGGGACCUUCAAUGGUGCAGAAAUGUUUAGGUACCCUUCCCCAGAUCUGUUCCUUGACACAAUCCUGUCUCGGAACUCUAGGACAAUUCCUUUGACCUCAUGAUUUUGGUUUUUUCUCUAACAUGCACUGUCAACUCUGGGACCUUACAUAGACAGGUGUGUGCCUUUCCAAAUCAUGUUCAAUCAAUUUAAUUUACCACAUAUGGACUCCAAUCAAGUUGUAGAAACAUCUCAAGGAUGAUCAAUGGAAACAGGAUGCACCUGAGGUCAAUUUUGAGUCUCAUAGCAAAAAAAAUAGCAUGGGGUCUGAAUACUUACGCAAGGUAUUUCUGUUUUUUAUUUUUAAUAAAUUUGCUAAACUGUCUAAACCUGUUUUCACUUUGCCAUUGUGGGAUUUUGUGUGUAGAUUGAGGGGGGUGGGGGGGAAUCCAUUUUAGAACAAGGCUGUAAUGUAACAAAAUGUGGAAAAAGUCAAAGGGUCUGAAUCUGGAGAGACCGGGUCAGUCAUUUACUAAUAUACUAAUACUCUUAGUAAAAGUAUUUAUCUUCAACACGCAAUCUGUAGAUUCUAUUCAAUUAGAUAGAUUGAAAUUGUACGUUAAACAUCAUAGCAUAGUUGAAAGAUAUGCGUUGCAUAGAAACACGAAGUGGGUGGCCAGCAGAGAUAGAUGGGAUGGGCUGAGGGUUGGUAUGUGGAAUUGGAGACAAGUGGGAGUGGAGUUGCUGUGUGAGAGUGAGAAUGAUGCUCAAAAGAUAAAGGAGAAAAAAAGUACAUUUGAAUGACACUAAGUGGCAGUGUUUUUACAACUAAUGCCGGUUUGCCUGAGGCUGAUGUGAUGCAGGUGUUUGUACACACACUCUCAUUCAAAUAAACACAUACAAGAACACACACAUACAUGUAAUAGUGCCAGACAUGCACACAAACAUAUAAAGUAGGCAUUGCUGUUAUGAUUUCAGUUGUCCUUGAUGUCCUUUGUUUUAAAUUUAUUAUGUUGUUUUAUUUUUUUUGCAUUGUUUUCUGUUUUCUUCUGUCUUUUCCUUUUUUCGAAUGGUUGAGGGACAGCUAUUGGGGAACUGUGGGGGGAUCUUGGAGGGUUGAGGGACAGCUAUUGGGGAACUGUGGGGGGAUCUUGGAGGGUUGAGGGACAGCUAUUGGGGAACUGU